UCUUAUGAAUGAGCAAAGGAAGUGAUUUCUUGAGACGGAAUUUACUUCUGGUGAAGAUGCUGUGAA
rnacentral:pre_miRNA from 3 species